rnacentral:misc_RNA from 1 species
GGGUUAGGAAAAAGGAAAAAAAAUUUUAGGUUAGUCUUUAUUCUAUUAAGUAAUAAUAAGCAAUAAAAUAUACCUUUGAAAUUUUAAUUUUGAUCAAGUGGACAAAAUUGCAAAUAAUUUUUCAAAUAAGGUUAAAAUUGAAAAAAAAAAAAACAGAGAGAAUUUGCACAAAAACACCAUUCAUUUAAUAAAUACAUUCACAAAGCAAGCUACUAGUAGAUUCCGUAAUUGCAACUGAACAAUAAAGUAGCCAAUUCCAAGAAAAACAGGGAACAAUACCAACAAGUUUGAAGCAUAUCAAUAAUUAGCAAGGGCUAAUAAAACAACCUCCAGCCAGCUUUGCCGCAUCAAGUAUCAGGAGAUCGACAAAGCCAGAUCUCCAGUUGAUUGAUGGUAUUUGAAUCUCUCAUGUACUUCUAUCCAUCAAUAGCACUUUGACACUUUGUCCAAAGCAUCAAAAACACCUUGCAAAGUUACCUCCUCCACAAUCACCACUUUGUCUCUUGAUUUAGUACCUGCACCUAUGGAUAGCUGUCUUCUUUUCACACCUAAUACAGAACUAAUAUAAUCAAGGAGAGCGGCGUUAGCUUCACCGUCCUUGGCAGGGGCAUCUAUUUGCACCCCUAACGCUUCAUC